rnacentral:rRNA from 1 species
CAAUGGGAUGCGAAUCUCGAAAGCCUGUCUCAGUUCGGAUUGGAGGCUGAAACCCGCCUCCAUGAAGUUGGAUUCGCUAGUAAUCGCGCAUCAGCCAUGGCGCGGUGAAUACGUUCCCGGGCCUUGUACACACCGCCCGUCAAGCCAUGGGAGCCGGGGGUGCCUGAAGUUCGUGACCGCAAGGAGCGACCUAGGGCAAAACUGGUGACUGGGGCUAAGUCGUAACAAGGUAUC